CCGGAGCCCUGGCGGGCCGGCGCCGCUCGGGACUGGCGGCUCCGGCCCGCGGCCUGGUCGCGGCGGGGGCUCCGGGCC
rnacentral:tRNA from 1 species